UAGUUGCAGCGUUACCCGGUUAUUGCGCGUAAGAGUUCUGUAGGUGGGUUUCUAAGUCUUAUUUCAAAGACUCCGACUUAAUCGGAGAAAGGGGUAGGAUACUGGAGGACUGAGUUUAUACGGGGUUACUGGAAUUUGUGGUGUAGAGGUAAAAUCCGUGGAUACCACAAAGAACACCAAGCGCGAAGGCGGGUAACCAGAUGUACACUUGACACUGAGAGACGAAAGCUAGGGUAGCAAAUCAGAUUAGAGACCUGAGUAGUCCUAGCCGUAAACAUUGUCUGUUAAUUUUUCGGGAUUUAUCCUGGGAGAUGCAAGCUAACGCGUUAAACAGACCGCCUGGGGAGUAUAGCCGCAAGGCCGAAACUCAAACGAAUUGGCGGGGAGGCGCACAACCAGUGGAGCAUGUGGUUUAACUCGAUACAAAGCGAUAAACCUUACCCGGGUUUGAAAUGUACCUGCAAACCCCCAGAAACGGGGGAAUCUUUCGAAGGUGGUACACAGCUGUUGCAUGGCUGUCGUCAGCUCGUGACGUGAGUUGUUCUCUUAAGUGAGGUAACGAGCGCAACCCCUAUCGUAUGUUACUGUAUCAUACGAGACUGCCCAGCAUUAUUUUGUUGGGAGGAAAGGAGGGGACGACGUCAAGUCAUCAUGAUGCUUAUAUCCGGGGCUACACACAUCCUACAAUGGGUUGUACAGAGGGUUGCAAGACCGCAAGGUGGAGCUAAUCCCUAAACAAUCCUCAGUUGGGAUUGCAGGCUGAAAUUCGCCUGCAUGAACUUGGAAUUGGUAGUAAUCGCAAUCAGCAGAUGCGGUGAUACGUCUGC
rnacentral:rRNA from 1 species